rnacentral:lncRNA from 1 species
GUUCUGACAAUGGCUCAGAAUUUACAGGUAAGGCGUUUCAAACACUACUAAGGGAGCGUGGCAUAAAACAUGAAACUUCUGCUCCCUACUCGCCACACCAGAAUGGCACCGCCGAAAGGCACUGGCGCACAUUGUUCGAAAUGGGCAGAUGUCUUCUUCUUCAAUCAGGGUUACCCAAAACUCUCUGGCCCUAUGCAAUUCAAACCGCAGCUCACAUUAGGAAUAGAUGUUUUAAUAAGAGAACAAAGACAACACCCUACUUUAGCCUUACUGGGAAAGUACCUGAUCUUUCUAAAAUGUGGAUCUUUGGAUCUGAAUGUUUUGCUUACGAACAGGAGCAUAAGAAAUUAGACUCAAGAUGCAGCAAGGGGGUAUUUGUGGGAUACGACAAAAAUAGCCCUUCUUACCUAGUCUACUACCCAAAAAAUGGGAAAAUCAUGAAACAUCGACUCAUUAGAUUCAUCAAGAAAUGUAGUGUAGAACAGCACACACAAACUGAUGAGUCCAGCAGGGAUUGUGAUGUACAUGAGAAAUCUGAUCAUGAUACUAGAUCAGACUUAGAUAGUAUGAGCCUCCCUGUUUUAAGUGCAAUGCCGCCAAAUACAGUGCCUGAUGAGGAGCCUAGGGAUAGUGAGGGAAGGCAUUGCAACCAUACUGAGAAUGACAGUGAGACAAAACGGUAUCCUCAAAGAGAAAGGAACCCUCCCAGAUACUUAGAAGAGGACACCCUCCUCCCUAAGAAUGCCGAUUGUGCCCACAUUAGUGUAGAUUACUGCUACAAAGUUUGUGGAUUACCACAAAAUUACACAGAAGCCAUGGGAUCACCUCAAGCUAGGGCGUGGGAGCAAGCAAUGAAGGAAAAGAUCAGCUCUCUGAAGGAAAAUGAUACUUACGAAUUAUCAACUUUACCAGAAGGUAAAGCUUCAGUAGGGGGGAAAUGGGUGUACACAACCAAACAAGAUCAGAAUGGCAUAGAGUCCUUUAAGGCCAGAUAUGUAGCGAAGGGUUACAGCCAGGUAAAGGGUAUAGAUUAUCAAGAAACUUUCGCCCCGACAGCCAGUAUUACUUCAAUUAGGGUCUUAAUGCAGUUAGCAGUAAAACAUGAUCUUAUUGUCCACCAGAUGGACGUUAAAACUGCAUAUCUGCAUGCCCCCAUUACUCAAGAGUUAUACAUAGACCAGCCACAAGGGUUUGAAGAGGUUUCAGAGAGUGGUGAGAGGUUAGUAUAUAGGCUAAAGAAAUCGCUAUAUGGUCUAAAACAAUCAGGUAGAAAUUGGAACAUAUUGUUACACAAGCAUUUAGCAAAUGACGGUUUUGUCAGAAACCAUGCUGAUCACUGUGUAUAUAAGAAACAAGUUGAUGAUAAAAUUGUUAUCGUCAUUGUUUGGGUUGAUGACCUAAUCAUAGCUUCAGAUAGUAUGCAGUUAAUGGAAGAAUUUAAAGAAAGUAUGAAGACACAAUUUAAGAUGAAAGAUCUAGGUAGAAUCACUUUCUUCCUUGGAAUGGAUUUUAAGCAAAGCAAGGGUGAAAUAAAAAUUAAUCAGAAAAGAUUCAUUCUUAAAAUACUAGAG